UACGGGGGGAGCAAGCGUUGUUCGGAUUUACUGGGCGUAAAGGGCGGGUAGGCGGCCACCGCAAGUCAGUUGUGAAAUCUCUGGGCUUAACCCAGAAAGGUCAACUGAUACUGCGGGGCUAGAGUGCAGAAGGGGCAACUGGAAUUCUCGGUGUAGCGGUGAAAUGCGUAGAUAUACGGAGGAACACCUGCGGCGAAGGCGGGUAGCUGGGCCAACACUGACGCUGAUGCGCGAAAGCUAGGGGAGCAAACGGG
rnacentral:rRNA from 1 species